AACUUCCAUUGUCCUCACUAAGUUUGGGUUUCCCUUACUAUAAGACAUGACUAGUAAUAUCCCAUUAAUUGUUCAUUAUCUAUUGACUAGGACUGUUUUGUUCAGCAGGAUGCACAAAGUCCUUACACUUCUUCAGUGCUCUCCCUGUGGCCCUGGAACACAGACGUGGAAAAAGGCUGGUUUUGCAAGUUAUUUAAGGACACCUUAAAGUUACAGUACUUUAGAGCACUGCUUCAGUAGACAAAGUUCUAAUGUUAUGUUUGGGAUAUCUAUCUAUAUAAUCUUAGCAAACAUUACAAGGUAUGUAUAUAUUUGAAUAUAUUACGAUCAACAUAUGUUUUAUCCAAUUAUAUACAUGUGUAUACAAUAUAUAUAUUAUAUAUAAUAUAUAUUAUAUAGAUUAUAAUUAAUAUAUAUAUAUAUAAUUAUAUAUAAUUAUAUAAUUAUAUAUAAUAUAUAAUUAUAUUCUAUAUAAUAUAUAUAUAUAUAUAUAUAUAAGGUUUUG
rnacentral:lncRNA from 1 species